rnacentral:rRNA from 1 species
CACGUAGGCACCAAGCGUUGUCCGGAUUUAUUGGGCGUAAAGAGCUCGUAGGCGGUUCGUCACGUCGGGAGUGAAAACUCGGAGCUUAACUCCGAGCCUGCUUCCGAUACGGGCAGACUAGAGGUAGGCAGGGGAGAGCGGAACUCCUGGUGUAGCGGUGGAAUGCGCAGAUAUCAGGAAGAACACCGGUGGCGAAGGCGGCUCUCUGGGCCUUACCUGACGCUGAGGAGCGAAAGCGUGGGGAGCAAACAGG